AUGCACAUAAGCAAUAUGACCAACGCGCCGCAGAUCCCGAGCUUCCGAGAAUUGCUCUCUGCAGCUGCAAGAAGCCGCCAGACUGCGCCUGGUACGGCUCUGGAUGCUUGUCCCAGAAUCCAGUGGCAAGCCCAUGCCGUCGUGCUCAUGGAGAGCGAGAGAAGAAAACAAGAGCUAGGCUGGGAGAAACGCAGAAAUCCAAGCACCCCCGCCACGCUGCUCUCUCCGAAAUGCAGAAUCCAAGCAUCUUCACCCGAGCUGCUUUUCCAGUUCCCACACCCUCCUCUCAGUCCUGUGGCAUACAGACACACACCUCUGCAUGUUCAGAGAUGA
rnacentral:rRNA from 1 species